UCUCAGUUCGGAUUGGAGUCUGCAACCCGACUCCAUGAAGCUGGAUUCGCUAGUAAUCGCGCAUCAGCCACGGCGCGGUGAAUACGUUCCCGGGCCUUGUACACACCGCCCGUCAAGCCAUGGAAGCCGGGGGUGCCUAAAGUGCGUGACCGCAAGGGACGCCCUAGGGUAAAACCGGUGACUGGGGCUAAGUCGUAACAAGGUAGC
rnacentral:rRNA from 1 species